rnacentral:rRNA from 1 species
GACGAACGCUGGCGGCGUGCCUAACACAUGCAAGUCGAACGGAGUUGUUCCUUCGGGGACAACUUAGUGGCGAACGGGUGAGUAACGCGUGAGGAACCUACCUUUCAGUGGGGGACAACAGUUGGAAACGACUGCUAAUACCGCAUAAUGUAUCUGGACCGCAUGAUCCGGAUACCAAAGAUUUAUUGCUGAAAGAUGGCCUCGCGUCUGAUUAGAUAGUUGGUGAGGUAACGGCUCACCAAGUCGACGAUCAGUAGCCGGUCUGAGAGGAUGAACGGCCACAUUGGGACUGAGAUACGGCCCAG